AAGUCGUAACAAGGUCUCCGUAGGUGAACCUGCGGAGGGAUCAUCUAAGGUAUUGGAUGGAUAGAGGAUAUCAGGGUAACUUGAUGAAUCUAUUCUUGAUAAAGGGUAUGAGAAGGAGAAGGUAUGGGAAAUCGGUAUAACUGAUGGACCAUAGAAGUGGUAUGAGUCAAGGAGGCUACUCGCCUGUUACAAGGGGGGUAGCCAAUAUGGCUCUGCCGUAUAGAACCUAUGUUGCUGGAUGGUGUGCUUGGCUUGCCUUGCUUACUUAUACUUAUUCCAUAUCAUCAAGAGUAUAUAUGACAACUUUUGGCAAUGGAUCUCUCGGCUCUC
rnacentral:misc_RNA from 1 species